rnacentral:tRNA from 1 species
GCGGGAAUAGCUCAAUUGGUAGAGCAUCAGCCUUCCAAGCUGGGGGUUGCGGGUUCGAGUCCCGUUUCCCGCU